ACUGCGCGGCACCGGGACGCCCGCCCGGCUUCCCGCUCCCCGCCCUGGCCCGCGCCCCUCUCCCUCCUAGGAGCUGGAGACCUGCAGGCAGGGGCAGGGGACCCGGUCCUCUGCAGAACCCGAGCUCAGGGUUGCGUUAGACCCACUCCGGGGCGCACGGUCUUCAGCGGAGGGACGGCGGGGUGCGAAGGACCGAGGCGCCCCUGCUCGGGUGGCAGCCGAUCGCCGCCUCCCGCAUCCCCCGGCUGCCUCCCCCGUCCGGUCCUACCCUCCUCCCUGCCCGCGAAGGGAGAACAAUAACCCGAGCGCGCCUGGGAAGCGGAGACACUGGGAGGCGGGCAGACAAUGCGAGGGAGUUGCGAGGGGGCAGCCCCAGCGCACCGCGCGUUCUCGCUGUGUCCCAGCCGCGCCCGAGGGCUUGGCCUGGGGCAAGCGGGCCGCGGGGGCGCAGUAAGAGGCUACGUGGAAGAUAAUUUAGGUCUCUUGAAAUCUAAAAUCUCACAGCGUCUGUUCAAGGCCGGGGAGAAUUUCCUCCAGUCUAGAUAGAACAUCAGCAGUUGGUUAAAAUACACACAGACAUGUGUGUAUUUGGGUCCUUUUCUAUUUUGGAUCUGAAUCUCUAAAGUCACUUUUGGAAUUUCCAUAAGCCUGUCUUUUUGUAAACAGAUUUUUCUGGGAUUCCCCCACCCCGACUCCUGUCUUGCGCUGCUUGUUCUUCCAGCUUGACCCUGUCCAGGUAUCCCUCCCUCUCUCCCUCCCUCCUUCUUUUCCUCCUUCCCUCUCUCCCUACACACAUACAUUUGCCCCAGUUUGCACCUUUUUUUUUUUUUUUUUUUUUUUUGGUGCUGCAAUUCUUUCUCCCUUUUGAUUGGCGCUUUCUUUGGGUUCUUCUGCCCUUUUCGAAGUGCUGGUUUUAUUUCCAUCCCUCUCAUAAUUUGUUUUCUCCAAUUCAUUUCCUCUUUUUUUUUUUUGUCACAAGUAACUGUAUCUGCAUGAUUUUUUCUUCCUACUGCCAUAAGUUCUGUUCCCUUAAGGGCUCAAGCGUUCCUGGGGUAGGGAGGGGACAAGAGAAUUUCAUUGCAUUUUAUCUGAGGGAAAUAAUGUGUUGUAGUUCCACUUUCAGGGAGUCGGGGAUACUGGGAUUUUAUACUUACAUAUGGGUCAAACCGUCUUAGCUGAAUAAAUCACAAACCUCUGUAAUAUCUAGGGUGCUUGGGUGCUUGCUUACAAUAAAAAAGGCAUGCAGGAAAAGCGGCGGUGGGGGGGGAAGUAUUUUCAAAUUAGGUCUCUAAAUAGGGAUUUUACAACAUCCGUUUAUUAUUAUUAUCAUAUUAUUAUUAUUUAGAAAUGGGAUCUCACCAUGUUGCUCAGGCCGGUCUCCAACACCUGGCCUUAAGGGAGCCUCCCAACUUGGCCUCCCAAAAGUGCUGGUAUUACAGGUGUGAGCCAGCAUGCCACCCUCCACUUAUCUUAAAGUAAAAUUUUGAUUAUAUAGUAUGUGAAAGAGACUGGCAUCUUUCAUUCACCCAUGAAGUGCCAUCUCCUUGGUCUCAUUUUUUUGCAUUUGUCCUCAUCUGCGGAAUGUCUGGCCACUUUGCUGUUUCCUCUGGGUGUGGUUUAGAGUACAAAGUACAACCCUUUAUCAACCAAGCAAAUCAGAAAUAGCUCCUAGAUGUGGGACGUGAGAAAAAAAUCAGGCAAAAGAAUGGUUAACAUUUUAACAAAAAGCAUGCUGUUUGUGGCUGAAAUAUUUGGAGGUAAGAAGGUGUGUGAGUGGUCCCAGGGUGAGGGGGCGAGGUAGGAGUGGGGGUUGUGCAAUUAUGAUAAAUAUCUAGGAGGCAGUUCUCUUUGCCAGGGCUGACCCCCAGGUUGGGCGGGGCCUGGACAUAGCACAGAUCACGUUUCUCCGCAAGUGAUACCAGAUAGAAAUGAAUGUGGUGCAGCCAUGACAGAAAAACCUACAACCAGUGGCAGCAAUGACAACAUGCAGAGAUGAGGAAGAGUUGUCCAGCUGAGGAGAGAGAAGUGCAGGUCUCUUCCAGUGCACAACCAAAUUUUCAGGAAUUUGGAAAUGUGUCAUGAGCACACAAAAGACACUGGAUUUAAACAAAUGUGAGUUAUCAUAUGGUGUGGACUAAAACCAUGUGAAACCAAGAGCAAUAGCAUUAAGAUGGAUGAUGAGGAGCAAGGGAAAAUGGAAAUGGCGAGACUGUGGCCAGUGUUAGGCCGACAUUGCAGCAGAUCUACAUUCCGCCGUGAGAACAGACAUGGGGACAAAAGCCCAGACCUGGUUGGAACUCCAAUAUGGUGCUGGUAGCCAGCUGUGACCAAGAAGAGGACAACCGGAGCAACAAUCUUAGACACAAGGAUGGAAGCUGUAAGGCAGGGGAGGAGUUCCAGGGUCCCUGGAGAACUUCAUGGAGCUGAGGACGUCCUUCCUGUUUUGUAGUGUUGCAUGAGAGAGGAAUAACAUUCUAUAUUAUUUGGCUGGGCGCGGUGGCUCAUGCCUGUAAUCCCAGCACUUUGGGAGGCCGAGGUGGGCGGAUCAACUGAGGUCAGGAGUUCAAGACUAGCCUGGCCAACAUGGCAAAACCCCGUCUCUACUAAAAAAUACAAAAAUUAGCCGAGCGUGGUAGAGCAUGCCUGUAAUCCCAGCUACGCAGGAGGCUGAGGCAGGAGAAUCACUUGAACCCUGGAGGCAGAGGUUGCAGUGAGCCGAGAUAGUGCCACUGCACUCCAGCCUGGGUGACAGAAUGAGACUCUCAAAAAAAAAAAAAACACCUGUAUUAGUUAAGCCCUGUCAUAUCGGAUCUUUUUGUCACAGCAGCUAGUUUAUGCUGUAGCUAAACCACUGCGCUUCUGUCUUGUUCUGAUAAUCUAGGUCUCCACCUACCCAUAAAUCCCCCCUACAGCCUGUGCCUGGGUCCUGGUAUCCUGCUGACCUACAAAUAUCUUCCUGGAUUCCUGAAUAUCACCACCUCCAGGAUUAUUGAGCCCCACGCUCUGUCUGUUGGGACACUUCCACUACUCUGUGUGGAGCUGCCUUAUGCAGACUGCUGGCACUACCAGAGUUUGCCUGCCACCACACCCUUCAGAUUGUCAGGCUCUAGCUUCGCUGUCCCUUCAGCUGGCUUUGUCUCCCUGGAGUCUCCCCACUCCAGAUAGAAAGUUGGCCUUGAGGCCCUAACUCUUUCUUGUCCAUCCUGUCCUGCAGCAAUUAACUAGGCCCCUCCUGGCUAUGUCCUGAGUUAUAUAGGGAAAGGUUUGCCUGGCUCCUCACAGGAAGCAUACCAUGGAAGUACAAAUCCCUACCCCCAAUACCUUCCCUGGCUUACCCUGAAGCUGAGUAGAAUUUCUGCUCGCAGUGUCAAACCAGCUGGUGACUAUAUAGGGCUUUUUCAAUAGAGAUACAUUUCAUUCUUUGCUAGCUUACACUUAUGUUUGUUUUCCUUCCUGCAACUUUACGGCGGACAUCAGAUACUGAUGUUUGCCUGAGGAUGUGUACUGCUUCAGGAACACAAAUUUCACAUUUGGAAUGUGCACAAGUCUAACUUCAGGUUAACAAUCACCUGUGCUCAUAGUAAGAAAUGCUUUUGAUUAACACCGGGGUGUGGAACAAAACUCAUCUGGAAUCCUAGAUUAGGCAACUACUAUUUAUUUAUGCAAAACAGUAAAGUCAUUAGAGCCCCCAUUCCUGGUAAUUGUCUCAGAAAAUGCAUUCCCUGGCCUCACAAUUCGUUUUAUACAAAGCAAGAAGUUAUUUGGGUUAAUAACCUUGAGUUUUAAUGACUCAAUCAAUAUUUUGGUUUCUGCAGGCUGCUUUGCUACUGUAAAUUUUGAGUACAGUGCUUGUGGAGUAUAUAAAUAUUUAGCUAGUCAUUGAAGCAUCAGUUAAUGAAAUAAUUUAAUCUUUUCUUUAAUUUAGAAAAUACUGUUGGCAAUGAACUGGUAUGAGGUGUUUAUUUCAGCUGCUCUCAUAGACUGGGAAACCAAAUUGCUGCUGUGCUGUAUGGUUUAUUACUUUGUCACAUUGCAAAUCCAUACUGCAAGUAUCUCUUUUAGAUUAAUCUCCUUCAAAUAGAUCUUGAAUAACCUAGUCACUUGCCUCAGAUGGUUUUAUCCUGAUUUUAAAUUUACAACCAUGCUUCUCUGUCUGUUUUAAGAUUUGCAGUAUUGUGUGUUUGUGUGUGCAGUAAAUUUACACAUGUACUAGGAAUCACAACCAGGACUGAUUACAGAUUUCUUCCUUUUAGAAUGUGAUGACUUUGAAAAAGAAAAACCUAUAUAUUCAGAGUUCAAAUACCAAAUAUAGCUUUCAAAUACCAAAAUGGCCAUGUGAAGCUUUCUUUCAACUGGUUAUUUUGUCUGAAUCAAAGCUUCCAAAAAUGUGUUCCUCGGCAUACAUAUUCUUGGGAUGCUAAAAGGAUUCUACUUUGUUUCUGUUUGGAAAUUCAAAUGAAAACAAAAAAGAUUAUACAAUCCAGUUAUUAGUCUCUUCACUAGCCACAGGGAAUCUUGAGGUUGAAGGAUUGUACAUACUUAGUCCUUUAUUUUUCAAGCUGAAUUAUUAGGAGGGAUUGUCUUGGUCUGUUUUGUGCUGCUUGAACAGAAUACCACAUACUAGAUAAUUCAUAAUGAACAGAAAUUCAUUGGCUCACCGUUCUGGGGGCUGGGAAGUCCAAGAUAGAGGGGCCAGUGUCUUAUGAGGGCCUUCUUGCUAUGUCAUCCCAUGGCAGAAGGGCAAAGGAGGGUGGGGAACUCAUCCUUGUAUAAGGAAUCCACUCCUGAGAUAACAAAAUUAAUCCAUUCAUAAGGGCAAUGUCCCCAUGACCCAAACAUCUUCCACUAGGCCCCACCUCCCAACACCACUGCAUUGGGGAUCAAGAUUGCAACACUCAAGAACUUUGGGGGACAUAUUCAAAUGAUAGCAGAGCUUUAGCUCUUUAACAGUGACCUAGAAAAUAACUACCAAUGAUUGCAAGUUUUUCUAAUACGUGAUUGGUUGGUGCCAGCUCUUGGUAGUAAAAUUGAAUCAGUAGAAUCAGCAAAUAGUUCCAAAGGUUUUUACUGAAAAAAAAAAGCUCUGACUUUUUAAAUCAGGGACUUUGAAUAUCAACUGAGUAUUAGAUUAUAUUAAGGAACUAUUUCAAUCUUGACGGAUGUGAUAAGGACACCUUAUGUAAGAAGAUCGCCCCAUUGUUAGAUGCAUACUCUGUACAAUAACAUAUGCUGUCUGAAACUUCAUUGAAGAUACUUCAGGAAAAAGAAGUGACUAUAGAUAAAACAAAUAGGACAGAAUAGUAAUGGUUAGUGAUGGCUGGUGAAACUCGGUGAUGAGUCCAAAAUGCUCUUAUAUUCCCCAGUUUUAUUUAUACUCAAUUUUCAUAAUACAAAAUAGAAAAGAGUUCUGUGGUCAAAUAAGCUUUGAGAAACCCUGGUUUUAAUAAAAUUAAUUUAGGCAUUUUUUUUUUUUUUUUACCGUAUGCCUUUUUAUGUAUAUGUAACUGUGUGUGUAAAUCUUUUAAUUUUCUCUUUGAUUAAAAGAAAACUUUUUUUAAAGACUGAUAUUCUGCCAAAUAUGCUAACUAACUCUAGGAAUGACUGCAUUCUACCUAACAACCAGUUUGGAUUGAAUUGCCUGCACUGACCACUACUGGACUGCAUGAUCAAAACAGGUGGCUUAUGCUUUUUUUUUUCCCCAUCUCUCUAUUUCAGUCAUAGGCAGCAGAUCCCUGUGGAUGAGCUUCAACUUCAGGGAGGUCAGCCACUUACUAGCUCUCUAAUCCAGGCGAGUCAUUAAACCUCUCUGCCCCUCAGUUCCUUCAUCUGUAAAAAGGGAUAACAAUAUUACCUACUUCACAGGAUUACCAUAUAGAAUAAAUGAGAUAACACCUGCAAAGCAUUUCACAUCCUUCUUGGAACACGGUAAGUCCUCAAUAAAAUCUGGAAUUAAAGAAUUAAACUCAUUCUUUAAAGGCCAGCUUACAUAAUAUGUGUAAUGGAACUUUCUGAGUUUCCUCUACUCAGGAUUAAUUCCUUUAUCUUCUGCAUUCUGGCAGUUCUAUACCUCUAUAUGUAUGAUUUAAUUGUAAAUGUCUCAAGGAUAGGGACCAUGUCUUAUUCAUCUCAGUAUCACUCCAGCAUUCUAAUACAGGCUAUCAAGCCCCAAUGGAUAAAAAAGAGGGUGGGGGGUCAUCUUGGCAAUUCAGCUUCCUUUAAUCCUUGAAAGACCCAUACAAUACCACUUACCUACCAAUGCACAACCACAUCUAGCUGCAAGAGAGGCUAAGAAAUGUAGUCUUUAUUCUAUACAUUGAAGCAACACCCUAUCUAUCUAUCUAUCUAUCUAUCUAUCUAUCUAUCUAUCUAUCUAAGAUGAAGCCAAAGGAUCAAGACUAGUUCUGUAAAGAGUACAUUGCCUGCUUUCAGUGACUCUUUCUGCCUUUAAUAUACUGAUUUCGGGAUAAGAAAACAACAGCUUCCUGAUAUUAUAAAUAUCGUUGAGCUUUUGUCAUACUAGGAAAUACCUUUGUAUUGACACACUCAAAUACUAUUCAGAAAAAAAGCCUUCAAAUCCAGAAAAGAAAUAACAUAAGUGCCUCUGUAGCAGUAACGUCCCCACUGAGGCACAGCAAGCUCAAACACUGAGCAUUUUGACAGGAAAACACGCAGAUAUUUACUUUGGCAACAGAUAGAUUUCACAGUUAUUACUUCCCAGGUCUAAGCUAUAUAGUCAUACGUCUUCCAAAAGAACACACAGACAGCAAUAUAAAACCCUGGCUUUAAUCAAAUUAUACCUGUUUCUUUAGUGUGAGCAAAGCUCUCUGCCAAUACAUAAGCAUCUUUUCAUUUGGUUUGCCUGAUGUGGCAUAUGAGUGAGAAAUCAGGUUAAUCCAGUAGUGAGGACAUACCAAUAACAGAGACCUGAUCUCAAUAAGCUUUUGGCAGGGAAAGCUUUAUAGCGUAUCUGUUCCUUUCUAGUUGAGGUAGAAAGGAGUUCAUACAACCAAGAGUGCAGAGCUCUUCAGUUCUCAUGGGAAUGGCUAACUGAUUCAUGGUGCAUAACAAAAAAUCUGCAGAUGACCUAAACCAUCAUACUGACUGUCAGAUUACAUUUUCUUCUUUGAUAAUAUUUUACCCAAAUGACUAACAAGUAUACACAAUGACUACUUGUGUAUUUUUCCUUUGUCUCACUUCCCUUAUCACUUAGGACAUUUCUUCUUAUUGAAAUUAAUCAACAAAUAUUAAUAGAGACAUUUAAUUAACAGUAAUUGAAGCAUUUGCUGUGCAAUGUAAGAAACACAAACUAUAUAAAGGCACUGCCCUCACUGAAUUUAGUUUACAAUUCAAUUGAUUUUAUUUGGAGUUUUUGUUCAUUUUUUAACCCAAAUUGUGGCAUAUUAUAUAACUACUGUGUACCUUGCUUUUUUUCACCUAAUGCCUCUUGGAAAGGGUUUCAUAUUAUUAUAGAAAUAUGGAAUACAUGGGACUAUGGGAUAUUCCUACGACAAGAGUAUAAAAUAUUCCAUAUAUAGGAGUAUGGAAAAUUCCAUUUACAGAAAUGUGGAAUUCAAAAGAAUAGAACUGCCUUAUUAGCCUUUUUAAACAGCUACAUAAUAUUUCAUUGUAUGAAAAUAACAUAAUUUACUUAAGUCCUUAAAUAAUGCACAUUAAAUCUUUUGCUGUUACAAAUAACGCCGCAAUGAAUAACUUUGUACAUUCGCUACUUCCCAC
rnacentral:lncRNA from 1 species